rnacentral:rRNA from 1 species
GAUGAACGCUGGCGGCGUGCUUAACACAUGCAAGUCGAACGAUGAACCUCACUUGUGGGGGGAUUAGUGGCGAACGGGUGAGUAACACGUGAGUAACCUGCCCUUGACUCUGGGAUAAGCCUGGGAAACCGGGUCUAAUACUGGAUACGACCUUCUGGCGCAUGCCAUGUUGGUGGAAAGCUUUUGUGGUUUUGGAUGGACUCGCGGCCUAUCAGCUUGUUGGUGGGGUAAUGGCCUACCAAGGCGACGACGGGUAGCCGGCCUGAGAGGGUGACCGGCCACACUGGGACUGAGACACGGCCCAGAGUCCUACGGGAGGCAGCAGUGGGGAAUAUUGCACAAUGGGCGCAAGCCUGAUGCAGCGACGCCGCGUGAGGGAUGAAGGCCUUCGGGUUGUAAACCUCUUUCAGUAGGGAAGAAGCCGGCUUUUGGGUUGGUGACGGUACCUGCAGAAGAAGCGCCGGCUAACUACGUG